CAGCCGCCGCGGGAAUACCGAGGGUGCGAGCGUUAAUCGGAUUUACUGGGCGUAAAGCGUGCGUAGGCGGCUAAUUGAGUCGGAUGUGAAAUCCCCGAGCUUAACUUGGGAAUUGCAUUCGAUACUGGUUAGCUAGAGUGUGGGAGAGGAUGGUAGAAUUCCAGGUGUAGCGGUGAAAUGCGUAGAGAUCUGGAGGAAUACCGAUGGCGAAGGCAGCCAUCUGGCCUAACACUGACGCUGAGGUACGAAAGCAUGGGGAGCAAACAGGAUUAGAUACCCCUGUAGUCCCUGUCUCUUAUAC
rnacentral:rRNA from 1 species